rnacentral:rRNA from 1 species
CGCGGCCUAUCAGCUUGUUGGUGGGGUGAUGGCCUACCAAGGCGACGACGGGUAGCCGGCCUGAGAGGGUGUCCGGCCACACUGGGACUGAGAUACGGCCCAGACUCCUACGGGAGGCAGCAGUGGGGAAUAUUGCACAAUGGGCGCAAGCCUGAUGCAGCGACGCCGCGUGGGGGAUGACGGCCUUCGGGUUGUAAACCUCUUUCACCAUCGGCGAAGCCCAUAGCUUGUGUUGUGGGUGACGGUAGGUGGAGAAGAAGCACCGGCCAACUACGUGCCAGCAGCCGCGGUAAUACGUAGGGUGCGAGCGUUGUCCGGAAUUACUGGGCGUAAAGAGCUCGUAGGUGGUUUGUCGCGUUGUCCGUGAAAUUCCCUGGCUUAACUGGGGGCGUGCGGGCGAUACGGGCAGACUGGAGUACUGCAGGGGAGACUGGAAUUCCUGGUGUAGCGGUGGAAUGCGCAGAUAUCAGGAGGAACACCGGUGGCGAAGGCGGGUCUCUGGGCAGUAACUGACGCUGAGGAGCGAAAGCGUGGGGAGCGAACAGGAUUAGAUACCCUGGUAGUCCACGCCGUAAACGGUGGGUACUAGGUGUGGGUUUCCUUCCUUGGGAUCCGUGCCGUAGCUAACGCAUUAAGUACCCCGC